rnacentral:rRNA from 1 species
CUCGUAGGCGGUUCGGUAAGUCGGGUGUGAAAAUCCAGGGCUCAACCCUGGGACGCCACCCGAUACUGCUGUGACUGGAGUCCGGUAGAGGAGUGUGGAAUUCCUGGUGUAGCGGUGAAAUGCGCAGAUAUCAGGAGGAACACCAGCGGCGAAGGCGGCACUCUGGGCCGGUACUGACGCUGAGGAGCGAAAGCGUGGGGAGCAAACA